UACGGAGGGUCCGAGCGUUAUCCGGAAUCAUUGGGUUUAAAGGGUCCGUAGGUGGGGUUCUAAGUCAGAGGUGAAAGGUUGCAGCUCAACUGUAGAAUUGCCUUUGAUACUGGAGCUCUUGAGUUAUGUUGCUGUGGCCGGAACAUGUGGUGUAGCGGUGAAAUGCAUAGAUAUCACAUAGAACACCGAUUGCGAAGGCAGGUCACAAAGCAUACACUGACACUGAGGGACGAAAGCGUGGGGAGCGAACGGGAUUAGAUACCCCGGUAGUCCACGCCGUAAACGAUGGAUACUAGCUGUUGGGUUUUCGGACUCGGCGGCCAAGCGAAAGUGAUAAGUAUCCCACCUGGGGAGUACGUUCGCAAGAAUGAAACUCAAAGGAAUUGACGGGGGCCCGCACAAGCGGUGGAGCAUGUGGUUUAAUUCGAUGAUACGCGAGGAACCUUACCAGGGCUUAAAUGGGAGAUGACCGGGUCAGAGACGACCCUUUCUUCGGACAUCUUUCAAGGUGCUGCAUGGUUGUCGUCAGCUCGUGCCGUGAGGUGUCAGGUUAAGUCCUAUAACGAGCGCAACCCCUGCCGUUAGUUGCCAGCGAGUCAAGUCGGGGACUCUAACGGGACUGCCGGUGCAAACCGAGAGGAAGGUGGGGACGACGUCAAAUCAUCACGGCCCUUACGUCCUGGGCUACACACGUGCUACAAUGGUCGGUACAAUGGGAAGCCACCCCGUGAGGGGGCGCGGAUCUUAAAAGCCGAUCACAGUUCGGAUCGGGGUCUGCAACUCGACCCCG
rnacentral:rRNA from 1 species